AGGGCGACAGCAUUCUGUGCCGCUGAGCCGCGCGGUCCAGGUGUGCGGCCGCCUGAGCCCGAGCCAGGAGCUCUAGAGGGAGGGGGAAGAAAGAGCAGACGGUAGAGGAAAAGCCACCGGAGGAAAGGAAAAAAAUUAAAUCAGCAAAUCUAGAAACCUUUUCGCUCGUCAUUCCAAGAGAAAGGGAGAGGGGAAAAAAAUAAAAUUUUCAUCUUUUUGUUUUUGCACGUUCAUAAACAUUCUACAUACGUAUUCUCUUUUGUCUCUUCAUUUAUAACCGCUGUGAAUUGUACAUUUGUGUUUUUUGGAGG